ensembl:misc_RNA Metazoa_SRP Metazoan signal recognition particle RNA
GCCGGGCGUGGUGGCUCAUGCCUGUAAUCCCAGCACUUUGGGAGGCCGAGGUGGGUGGAUCACCUGAGGUCAGGAGUUUGAGACCAGCCUGGCCAACAUGGUGAAACCCCGUCUCUA